GACGAACGCUGGCGGCAUGCCUAACACAUGCAAGUCGAACGGAGAUUAUUUCGGUAAUCUUAGUGGCGAACGGGUGAGUACCGCGUGGGCAACCUGCCCUCUAGAUGGGGACACCAUCCCGAAAGGGGUGCUAAUACCGAAUGUGACAGCAAUCUCGCAUGAGGAUGCUGUGAAAGAUGGCCUCUAUUUAUAAGCUAUCGCUAGAGGAUGGGCCUGCGUCUGAUUAGCUAGUUGGUGGGGUAACGGCCUACCAAGGCGAUGAUCAGUAGCCGGUCUGAGAGGAUGAACGGCCACAUUGGGACUGAGACACGGCCCAGACUCCUACGGGAGGCAGCAGUGGGGAAUCUUCCGCAAUGGGCGAAAGCCUGACGGAGCAAUGCCGCGUGAGUGAUGAAGGAAUUCGUUCCGUAAAGCUCUUUUGUUUAUGACGAAUGUGCAGAUUGUGAACAAUGAUCUGUAAUGACGGUAGUAAACGAAUAAGCCACGGCUAACUACGUG
rnacentral:rRNA from 1 species